GACAGAGGGUGCAAACGUUGUUCGGAAUUACUGGGCGUAAAGCGCGUGUAGGCGGCCAUCUAAGUCGGGCGUGAAAUCCCACGGCUCAACCGUGGAAGUGCACUCGAAACUGGAUGGCUAGAGUCCUGGAGAGGAAGGCGGAAUGCUUGGUGUAGAGGUGAAAUUCGUAGAUAUCAAGCGGAACACCGGUGGCGAAGGCGGCCUUCUGGACAGUGACUGACGCUGAGACGCGAAAGCGUGGGGAGCAAACAGGG
rnacentral:rRNA from 1 species